AUCGAACGCUGGCGGCAGGCUUAACACAUGCAAGUCGAGCGGGGUGAUUGUGCUUGCACUAUCACUUAGCGACGGACGGGCGAGUAAUUCAUAGGAGUCUGCCUAUUAGUGGGGGGCGACAUCUCGAAAGGGAUGCUAAUACAACAUACGUUCUACGGGAAAAAGCAGAGGAUCACUAGUGUCCUUCCGCUAAUAGAGGAGCCGAAGUCGGAUUAGCUAGUUGGGGGUGUAGAGUCCUACCAAGGCGACGAUCUGUAGCGGGUCUGAGAGGAUGAUCCGCCACACUGGGACUGAGACACGGCACAGACUCCUACGGGAGGCAGCAGUGGGGAAUAUUGGACAAUGGGCGCAAGCCUGAUCCAGCCAUACCGCGUGGGUGAAGAAGGCCUUCGGGUUGUAAAGCCCUUUUGUUGGGAAAGAAAUCCAGCCGGCUAAUACCUGGUUGGGAUGACGGUACCCAAAGAAUAAGCACCGGCUAACUUCGUGCCAGCCGCCGCCGUAA
rnacentral:rRNA from 1 species